rnacentral:rRNA from 1 species
UAUUAGAUAUUUUCUUCAAACUAAAAAAUUUUGGCGGUAUUUUAGUCUUUUCAGAGGAAUUUGUUAAAUAAUCGAUAAUCCCCGAUGGACCUAACUUAAUUUUGUUUAACAAUUUGUAUAUCGCCGUUAUUGAAUAUUUUAUUAGAAUAAUCAUUUUCAAUUUUUAUUAUAAAAAUUAAUGUCAGGUCAAGGUGCAAUUUAUGGUUAAGAAUUAAUGAAUUACAAUAAAAUUAUUUAUACGGAUAUAAUUAUAAAAUAAAUUAUUAAAGGUGGAUUUGAAAGUAAAUUUUUAUAGAUUAAAAAAUUGAUUUUAGCUCUAAAAUAUGUACAAAUCGCCCGUCACUCUCUGA